rnacentral:rRNA from 1 species
UACAGAGGGGGCAAGCGUUGUUCGGAAUUACUGGGCGUAAAGGGCGCGUAGGCGGCCUUCUAAGUCGAACGUGAAAUCCCCGGGCUCAACCCGGGAACUGCGUCCGAUACUGGAAGGCUUGAAUCCGGGAGAGGGAUGCGGAAUUCCAGGUGUAGCGGUGAAAUGCGUAGAUAUCUGGAGGAACACCGGUGGCGAAGGCAGGUCUCUGGGCUGACACUGACGCUCAUGCACGCAAGCGUGGGGAGCAAACAGG